UACGUAGGGGGGCGAGCGUUGUCCGGAUUUACUGGGCGUAAAGCGCGUGUAGGCGGCUUCUUAAGUCGGGUGUGAAAGCCCGGGGCUUAACCCCGGGUCUGCAUUCGAUACGGGCUAGCUAGAGUGUGGUAGGGGAGAUCGGAAUUCCUGGUGUAGCGGUGAAAUGCGCAGAUAUCAGGAGGAACACCGGUGGCGAAGGCGGAUCUCUGGGCCAUUACUGACGCUGAGGAGCGAAAGCGUGGGGAGCGAACAGG
rnacentral:rRNA from 1 species